rnacentral:rRNA from 1 species
GACGAACGCUGGCGGCGUGCUUAACACAUGCAAGUCGAACGGAAAGGCCCUGCUUUUGUGGGGUGCUCGAGUGGCGAACGGGUGAGUAACACGUGAGUAACCUGCCCUUGACUUUGGGAUAACUUCAGGAAACUGGGGCUAAUACCGGAUAGGAGCUCCUGCUGCAUGGUGGGGGUGGGAAAGUUUCGGCGGUUGGGGAUGGACUCGCGGCUUAUCAGCUUGUUGGUGGGGUAGUGGCUUACCAAGGCAUUGACGGGUAGCCGGCCUGAGAGGGUGACCGGCGACAAUGGGACUGCGAUACGGCCCAGACGCCUACAGGGGGCAGCAGUGGGGAGUAUUGUACAAUGGGCGGGAGCCUGAUGAAGAAGCGCCGCGGGCGGGAUGACGGCCUGCGGGUUGUAAACCGCUUUCGCCUGUGACGAAGCGUGAGUGACGGUAAUGGGUAAAGAAGCACCGGCUAACUACGUG